rfam:Streptomyces phaeoluteigriseus strain DSM 41896 Scaffold_11, whole genome shotgun sequence.
GGGGCGGUAGCUCAGCCGGUUAGAGCAGCGGACUCAUAAUCCGCCGGCCGGUGGUUCGAGCCACCCGCCCACCCCC